UCCACGCUGUAAACGAUGGGCACUAGGUGUCCGGGGUAUUGACCCCCUGGGUGCCGCAGCUAACGCAUUAAGUGCCCCGCCUGGGGAGUACGGUCGCAAGAUUAAAACUCAAAGGAAUUGACGGGGGCCCGCACAAGCGGUGGAGCAUGUGGUUCAAUUCGACGCAACGCGAAGAACCUUACCUGGGCUAGACAACAGUGGACCGUCCUAGAAAUAGGAUUUUCCCUCGGGGAC
rnacentral:rRNA from 1 species